UUCCUGCCAUUGUCUAUUCUCCGGUCUGUUCUCAUAGUCAGAUGCUUCCUCUGUUUUCUCCUGGCAUUAAAAUUACAGCUCACCGUCAAAUCUUAUUGAUGAUAUAUACCUUUGGUCAUUUUCAUGAAUGGUGCUUGGUGAUGUCUUCUAGUGUUCGCAGUAUCGUAAUUUGCUGGAGUUUUUGUAGUAUUUGAAUUGUGGGUGACUGAGCUGCAGAAUUUGUGCAAUUGAAUUGAAUCCGUGCUAUGGGUUAUCAUGUCAUAUCAUCAUUCAUCAACAAUUAAUUGAAUGGGUUUCUACAUGAAAUAUUUUUAGUUUCUUAAUCAAUAAUUUGAAGUUUUUAAUUGGAAGUCAAAUUAUUCUCAGAGAAUGAUAUAAUUAAACUAAAUCUUGGUUAAUUGAUUGCUAGCAGAAGUGUAAAUUUACAUGGCUUGAAAAUGAAGCUUAUCUUCCACUUAGUUUUAUCAAAUAAUAUAAUUUUUAAAUAAAUUAUUUAUAGAAUAAUUUUGAAUGAUAUAAAUCAAUAGAUGUCAAAACAUUCAGUUUUGUUGUACCUAGGUCCCUUUAUAUUACUAACAGCAAUAUUACGUGUCAUGUUUAUAAAUUCCAAACCUCUCAUUUGAAACUAACGCUUUGUAUGUUUUUUAUAAAAUAAAAUAAAUCCUAAACUUCUUAUGGACUAAAAUGUUUUUAUAGAAAAUAUGAGGAUUAAAAAACAUUCAUGAACAUAUAAGAAAAGCUAUUUUUUUUCUCUGUGGGCUAGGUAUGACGUAUGCAGGUAUGGAUAUGGGUCUGGGCUUAGAAUGAUAGAUAUGGGUCUAGUAGGAGCACAAUAUUUUUUUAAUGGUAAGGAAUGAGCUACGCCUACCAGGCUGGUUGCUCAGUCCAUUCACCUCUCUACUUGAGGCUUGUAUAGUUUAUUGAAAAAAAAAUAAACUUGUAUUGUUUUUUUUUUUCUAGAAUCAUUUCUUUAUAAAGCAUGAAAUUGUAACCAAAUUUGCAAUAUCUAUAUAAAAUAAAAGCAAUAAUCUUUUUUCAAAAAUUCUACCAUCUUCCUCGACCAAAAUAUUUUUUUAUGUUUCUAUACAUAUUAUAAUUAGUUACAAAUAUAAUACCCAAUUUAAUAAAAUCAUAUGAACAAAAUUCCAAGACUUUCCAUGGACAAAACCCAAUUUAAUAUAUAUAUAUAUAUAUAUAUAUAUAUAUAUAUAUAUUUAAAUUUAAUCACGUCAAUUUAUUUUCUCUUUACAUUAUAAAUAAAAAAUUCAAUAAGAGAUGAGAAAUAAAAUUAGAGGAAAAAAAUAAAAAUAAAAAAAUCUUAAAUGAAAAAAAAUUAAAGGGAAUGAAAUUAAUUAUCGGUGUAUUAGGCGCUGCUUUGCUAUGUAUUAUUUAUAGUGCCACUCUAAAAAAUACUUUAUUUGAAGAUAAUGAUGGUGCAAAUAUACGAAUUAUUUGCUAAUUUUUUUCAUAUAUGGUAUUAAAUCAAGAAAUAUUUUUAUAACUUUUUUAGAUUGACACGAGAUGAACUGAAUUCAUCCAAGUAACCUGAUACUUAACCAGGCCAGAAUGAAUAAAUAUGCUUUUCAUUUGUUCGUCUUGGUCGUUUUUUUUUAUUCUAAUAAGUAAGAGACUCAGACAGACAAGUCUUAAAUAAAAUGAGUCACUGACUCUUCGUGAUAUACAAACUCAUUUAUUAAAUCCCUUACCAAAUAACCUCUUCGUGACUCCAAAAGGCAGAUAGCUAGAUAGUUAGAAACAAAGCGAGCUCAAUCGACCAUGUCUCUCAUGGUUAGGCCUCCAAACUGAGGCUGUAACGAGCCGAGUUAAAGCCUGGAUCUACAAACACUGAAGAAAUUUCAUGGGAAAUGGGUUGAUGUCAGAGGGAGAAAUUUCUGUGCUGAUCCCAGCCAUGUUGUUGACACUGGACAGCUUGAGAGACUUCUUCAACCACCAAUCAAAUUAUUCUUAUUUACUUUCUGUGCAGCUUGGCACGGUUUUGCUGUCAAAGUUCAGAAACCCUAGCUAUUAGAAUAGUCAAGUGUUUAUCUUUAUAUUUUAAAUUAUUUUUUUAAAUUGACUCCACAAGAGAGAGAUGCCAUCCACGCAAUACAAAACUCUCGAAAAAAUAAUGAUCGUGCCACCGCCGGUGGUUGUGCUGUUCUAUCAAAUCACAAGCCACACGAGUAGCUGAUUAGAAAGAUUUUUUAUGGGACCCAGUCGUGACAGGGGCUGUUUUUGUGUUUUUUCUUUCAAUCAUGGCUAGAUAGUAGGCAUGGCAUGAUUGACGAAUGAUUGGGGAAGGGGCAAUGGGAGCCACAUGAUCCUUUUCAUGGUUGUUUCUUGCCUGUAGAAAGAAGAUCAUGCCAUCACGGAUCUUACGGGAUAGGUAUCUUGCUCGGUGUUGAUUUACAAUAAUGGCUGCACAUGAACCCGUCCAGCAGAACAAAUCCCAACAAGUAAUUUUCCUCACUGGUUCUAUAAUGUCUCUGGGUGGGUGCAUCUGUGCAAGUGCCUUGUAAAAUUGCCUUAUUCAGUAGUAUUUGUAAUUUUGUGUAGAGCUGGUAUCAUUCUUUGAAAUCAUAGUUAUUACGUCAUUGAGUUAACUCGUGUGUUAAUUAUAGGAUCAAUCAUUUUACUUUGUUUUUUUUCUUUAAAAAGAACAAAAUUUCUUGUAUU
rnacentral:lncRNA from 1 species